rnacentral:tRNA from 1 species
GGCAUUAUAGCCUAGUGGUAUCUUGGUAGUGGAAUAAGGCUUAUGACCAUAAGGUCAUGGGUUCGAUUCCCACAAAGGGGG